AUUGAACGCUGGCGGCAGGCCUAACACAUGCAAGUCGAGCGGAGCGGCGGACGGGUGAGUAAUGCCUAGGAAUCUGCCUGGUCGUGGGGGAUAACGUCCGGAAACGGGCGCUAAUACCGCAUACUAUCAGAUGAGCCUAGGUCGGAGUGGCUGGUUGGUGGGGUAAAGGCCUACCAAGGCGACGAUCCGUAACUGGUCUGAGAGGAGGAUCAGUCACAUGGGAACGGGGACACGGUCCAGAUGCCUACGGGAGGCAGCAUUGGGGAAUAUUGGACAAUGGGCGAAAGCCUGAUCCAGCCAUGCCGCGUGUGUGAAGAAGGUCUUCGGAGUGUAAAGCACUUUAAGUGGGGAGGCGGUACCAACAGAAUAAGCACCGGCUAACUUCGUGCCAGCCGCCGCGGUAAUUC
rnacentral:rRNA from 1 species